UAGAUUCUGGUGAAUUGUAGGAAAGCUAUCUUCUCAAAGUAAAGCCAGAAAAACAAACCCUGUAUUUAUAAGGAUUAGAACGGUUGUUAGGGAGUUCGCUCGAAAGAACUGGCACUUCGAUCAACUCUGUUAGAUCCAUCCAACCAAGGCACGUCUUCAUCAAGCUAUUCCUACCACUCAUCAAACUCCGCCAACUGUAGCUUUUUUCAGGCUCUUACUAAGUAAUAGAUUCUAUAUCACGAGGACAUCGAACCGUCGAAAUGGAUCCAGGUUAUCUACAGAAUGAAUCAGACAUUUCUUUCAUCCGAAGUAGGUGCCCGCCCACUUUAAAGAGCAUCUUUC
rnacentral:lncRNA from 1 species